UCAAUUGUCUAUUAAUUAUAGACUAGAAUGAAUGGAUUAACGAAAGCCAGACUGUCUCCUAAUUUUUAUCAAUGAAAUUAUCCUUUCUGUUCAAAGACAGAAAUUCUUUUAUAAGACGAAAAGACCCUAAAAGCUUCAAAUAUUAAAUUAACCUCUCUACUAAAACAAAUAAAGAAAAAUACUAAUUUUUAAAAUUUGGUUGGGGCAACCAUUGAAUAAAAAUAUCAUCAAUAAUCAAACGAAAAUUCUCUAAAAAUAGAGUAACAACUCAAUUAAAUAAGAAACUUAUUAAAAUGACCCAGAACCAUCUGAUCAAUGAACAAGUUACUUUAGGGAUAACAGCGCUAUUUCUUUUUAAAGUUCACAUCGACAAAGAAGCUUACGACCUCGAUGUUGGAUUAAGAUACCCAAGUGGUGCAAAAGCUACUAA
rnacentral:rRNA from 1 species